AUGAAGUGGCAGCCGUUCAUGUCCAUGUUCGUGCUGAACAAGAUGUGUGAGCUCAUCUCUAGUGGAGUUAGGACUGACAAGGGCUUCAAGGAGGUGCACUUGAACACCGUUGCGAAGCAGGUGUUCGAGUUCUGUGGGCAAGAGGUGUCUCAGAUGCAUCACAUCUUCUCCUUCGGGCUGGCAACUGGGAAGCAUGCCAUGGGCUCGGGUGAGCCUCUUGGUUCUCCCAUGCCAGACUUCCCUGGGACACCGGACGUCGAGGUCCUUGAUGGCCCUAACAAGCUCGCUGCGAAGCCCUUCGACAAGCCAUUUGACCCCGUUCAUGAUAGGAAGAGGAAGAGAGGAUGCCUGAUGGAGGAGGAGAUCAAUGUCUUUUGCAGCAUGACUGAGGCGGUGAAGGAGGUGGCAACAGCCAUCAGGGAGUGCAAGCCCCUCGACGUCCACCCUGACCUGUAUGGCGCUGUCAUGACCCAGGGUGGCUUCAGCGACGAGGUUCUCAUGGCAGCUCUCAGCCACCUGCUUGACAACAAGGCCCAGGGUGUUGGGUUCGUUGCCAUGGCCGACGCUCACAGGGGCAAGUGGUAUGCCGUGUUCAUCGGUAAGGUCCCAGGGGUUUAUAGUUCAUGGGAAUAA
rnacentral:rRNA from 1 species